rnacentral:rRNA from 1 species
AUUGAACGCUGGCGGCAGGCCUAACACAUGCAAGUCGAGCGGAUGAAGGGAGCUUGCUCCUGGAUUCAGCGGCGGACGGGUGAGUAAUGCCUAGGAAUCUGCCUGGUAGUGGGGGAUAACGUCCGGAAACGGGCGCUAAUACCGCAUACGUCCUGAGGGAGAAAGUGGGGGAUCGUCGGACCUCACGCUAUCCGAUGAGCCUAGGUCGGAUUAGCUAGUUGGUGGGGUAAAGGCCUACCAAGGCGACGAUCCGUAACUGGUCUGAGAGGAUGAUCAGUCACACGGGAACUGAGACACGGUCCAGACUCCUGCGGGAGGCAGCAGUGGGGAAUAUUGGACAAUGGGCGAAAGCCUGAUCCAGCCAUGCCGCGUGUGUGAAGAAGGUCUUCGGAGUGUAAAGCACUUUAAGUUGGGAGGAAGGGCAGUAAGUUAAUACCUUGCUGUUUUGACGUUACCAACAGAAUAAGCACCGGCUAACUUCGUG